rnacentral:tRNA from 1 species
GGAGCUGUAGUUCAAUUGGUAGAAUAGUAGAUUCCAAUUUGGAUCUCUUCGGAGGUUUGUUUGGAUUAUCUAUUGGUCGCAGGUUCGAUUCCUGUCAGCUUCA